ensembl:lncRNA
AACAUUAAAAAAAAAUAAAGCCCAGAAAUAUGCUUAAAACAGAAGCUUAGGGGGAUCCCUGGGUGGCUCAGCAGUUGAGCACCUGCAGGAUCGAGUCUCACAUCGGGCUCCCUGCAUGGAGGCUGCUUCUCCCUCUGCCUGUGUCUCUGCCUCUCUCUCUGUGUCUCUCAUGAAUGGAUAAAUAAAAUCUUAAAAAAAAAAUAAGCUUAAGUGUGGAACAGGCAUUGUUAAUUCACACAUGAGAUGGAAUCAAUCCAGUCAGAUUGCCUUCUUCCUACACCUGCAGAGCCCUGAAGUAGCAGAGUGUUCACAGGGCGGAGGGGAAGGAGAGAUGAGUCUCCAGCACAGAAUUCUCUCUUCCUGGGGCAGGUGGGACUGGUCUAUGGGUUGGGAUGGGGCCCAAGAGUGAGGCAUCUACUGCUGGCCGUUUCAGUGCCGUGUACAGACAGGUAAAUCCUGAAAGUCACGUCCCCAGAGGAAUGCAAGAUCUGAGCCAAAACAAACAUUCGACACUGGGUCAGCCAUCCUAGGGGCCAAAUAACAAGUAGAAACUAGGGUAAGGUGCCAAAUGGGUUAGAAAAACAAACUGAAAGAGGCCAACUGCCGAGUGAGAGUAUCACAGGCGGUACCCGAGAAGGCAGCUAUUUGAGGCCACGCUGACUGCAUUUAGAAGAACUAAAAUAGCUGAACUAACACCAACCCCACCGCCCCCACCAGGCUUUCUCCUGUCAGGCUUCCCUGGAUUUGCCUAGUAGAAGGCUCUGAAAAAGUCUGAAGCUUGCAUUUCCAAGAUGGAAGGAGGUCACUGUUGUCACAGUGGAUAAGUCACCAAGAGUCUUGUUGGGACCCAGUGUUCCGGACCAAGGUGGCUGAAGCAGACACGGGCAAAGGAAAGAAGGAAAUGCAAGAGACAGCACCUGCAAGCACAAUGACCUCGAGGACAUUGAAAACAGGUCUGGGAAGAACUGGGCAAACAAGACGUAUUUCAAGAGUACCCUCUGCCCAAGGUAAAUGGAAGAGUGCUCAGCUUUCAAUAUCUAUAGAAUUAUCUAUAAAGCCUGAUAAUCCUGCACCAACUGGAAACCAAAUUUUUGUGUUGCCAAAUUGCAAGAAAUUGUCAACAUUUGUAAAAAGCUGCUGUGCUGCAGCAUCUGUAUCACAGUUGAGACCGCGAUUUGUCCCCUAAUAUUUGUUCUACCCAUUUUGGAACAGCAAUGGAAUUUUAAUAGUUCUGAAUAAUCAAAUAACUGCCUUGCCCAGCUUCUCUCUCCCUCCCUGCCAGCCUGUCUCUCUCCUCUGCCUAGCUUCCCAUCCACUCUCUCUCUUCCUCCCCCAUGGACACCUCAUAGUAGUCAGAUGUCGCACACGAUAGCUGCAGGCUACCAGGACAAAUGUCCCACGAGGAGCUGGCUGAAGUUUCAUGUCCAUUUCUACCCACCUGGGAGGUCACAUAGCAUCACUUUUGCCACUUUCUAAACGCCUGGCCAGGUUCAAGGGGACGGAACGUAUCUACACCAAUUCUUGAUGGAAUGUGGCUUUUACCACCUGGUCCAUGAGGGGAGGCCAGGACCUGCAGAGCAACAAGAUGGGGGGCUCUGGGCCAUUGGGAACCAUCACACUAGCCUUUACCACCUACUGGGACUCUUACUUUUGUCUCGUUUAAGAAAAUAUUAUUUUGAAUUUUCCAUCACUCACAGCCAACCCUAACCUGUGGUGCUUAGCAAGGUCAGCAGGACGAGCCAUGAAAACCUUAAAAAGAACAGGUAUUAAGAGCAAUCCUAUAAGAAUGCAGGAAAAAUGACAUUCCACUCGUCUACCGCUCUUGGAAAUUGAGUUGUUUUUAGGGCUUUGUAGGGGGACAUCUUAAGUUCUACUUCAAGGCAGUCCAGGGGUCACCCUUAACCAGAGUACAUUUGCAGGAUUCGAAUUGAAUUGUGCGUGCAGGUGUGUGGGGGUGGUGCACGUACCUUGAGGGAGGUGAGGCGGGGUGCCUAGUACGCAUGCUCCUCUGGCUUGUCUCAUUAGAUUCUUUGACAAAAACUCACAAAUUCUCAGAUUAGACUACUUUCCACUGAAGCUGAAAAUCACCUCUUCACCCAAAGCCGUGUUUAACAUCCAUAAAUGAGGUCUGGGGCAGAUUCCAAGGGCUGCUUCAUGUUAAGGAAUUAUUCAAACAAGCGAAUUAUAUGGUAAGCGGCUCUAUACAACACACACAUGAGUAACACAGUGCCACCCACUCCCACCAGGACUGCAUUUUGCUACAUAAAAUAGUCCUGCAGGCACCUUUUUUCAGAAAAACUUUGCAAAGCACCUGUGAAAUUAUUUUGUGAGUCGUCUGUCCCAUGACCAUUUCUCAAUCAGGGGUUCCCUGUGUCUUGUAUCCUUUUGUGCGACUUUUUUUUUUUUUAAGUCAAGGAUCCUAGGAGACUUAAUUCUGAUGCAUUUUAAUGCCAUUCUUCAUUGUUAGUCGUUCUCAGAAAAUUAUAAAUAUUUCAUGUUGGCUAUUGCCAAAUGUUGCACAUCAUGGUUCUACAUGAAUAAUCUUUUGCUGAUAAUUGCUAGCGAGGCUUAUGUUCUUCUGACUUGCUAGAGUUCAUGGAGAUUUAUUGACUUAGAACUAAUUAAAUUGUUGCCUGCUGCUUUUGAAAUUCUGCCACAGGAACAUGCCUGUCAUUAGCGCACUCUUGGUGCGGAAGCCUGAUUUGGAUGGAGACGCAGCCGUUAGUUUCCUAAGUGCUCGCUGGGGAUGGGGGUGGGGAAAUGGGAUGGCUUCACAGACAUUAAGGUUCUACAGCACAAGAACAUAACCAUGGGCAUUGUUGUGCUGUUCCUCAUUUGGGCAUUUAUUUUUGGUUUCCUGAGGUUUGGGAACUGUAUGUUUAAACUUGCUACAUUUCCCUUCCAAAAUUUCUCUACGGAUAGGAUUUCUAUGUGCUGGUCAUCUUGAUUUCUUUUGAUGUAUGACUUUUAGGAAAAAUUUUAAAACCAGUAUAUUUUGCUGCAAGAUUGAGAAUCUGUGAAUUAUUUGGGAUAAUUUUACCAAAAACAAAAUACCUAGGCUUUUCGAUUUAGGGUAUGACUGAAGAAGCUUUAGGAGUAGAACUAACCAUCCUUCGUGGUCACAGUAAACCUAUGAUGUCCUUGGGGCGCCUGUUGGUCAAAUAUCUGACUCUUGGUUUCUUGGUUUCGACUCCGGUCAUGAUCUCAGGGUGGUGAGAUUGAGCCCUUUGUUGGGCUCUGGGCUCUGCAGAGUCUGCUUAACAUUCUCUCUCCCGUUCCUCUUCCUCCCUCCAUCCCCUGCUCCUACAUGGGCACUCCCUCUCUCUCUCUCUCUCUAAAAUAAAUUAAUUUUUUAAAAAAGCA